ensembl:lncRNA
AUGGGUUCGAAUCCAUGGUGGUUAAUGUUGCUUCUGUUCAAGACGUUGGAUUUUCCGUGUGUGUUCGCAUUGAAUCAAAAACGUGUUUUUGGUCAUUCUCAUCUAAAGUUCUGUUCGAUUUCAAACUUCUCUACUUCUGAAGCGAUCCGUUGUCAUGACAUGCAUUCUGUUUCUGCCCUUUUUCUUCCUCCCGCUCCGCUCUGGGCUACAGCCCUUCAGGGCUUGGCCCCGGCAUCGCUGCUUGCAGCUAUAUUUAGGGGCCAAGCCCAAAGGGCUGUAGCCCCUAUUGUAUCUGUAUGUUUUAUUAUUAUUAUUAUUCUUCUUCUUCUCGUCCAAUGGGAGUCUAUGGCAGCCCUAUGAAGGGAACAUGGGAAAAUGAUGAAAUUUGGCACACUUGUACAGAUGGCCAUGAAUAGUGAUCUGACCAACUUUGGGGUCUCUAGGCACAACUCUAUAGCGCCACCAGCAGUCCAAAAAUUCAACAUUCAAAUGUUAAUAACUCUUGAACCCCUAAUUCCAUGAAAAUUUAACUUAGUACACCUGAACAUGCUCUUCAUGCAGAUUCCAUUCCAUACCUUACAUUAAGGCUCCGCCCAUUACAGUAGCGGCCAUUUUGAAAAGUACAGUAUUCAGUCUAAACACUACUCCUCCUUCAAAAUUGGUCCAAUUCUUCUCAAAUUUGGCUCAUAUGUUCUUUGGACUGAGCCGCACAGAAAUGACUGAACAGAAUUUUUUGAACACUAGUGAAAAAAAAAGUUAUCAUGCUGUGAACUUAGAUAGGUUGAUCUCACAUCGGUUCAGAGGCUGUAUCUCGGCCAAACUUUGAUCAAUCGAAACCAAACUUGGUACACUUCAUCUACACCAUGAUGUGAGGGUCCAUGCCAAAGUUGGGAACAGCGCCACCUAUGGGUGUUGAGAUACCAAAAAUGCACUUUUUUGCUUAUAACUUCUGAACAAUUCGUCAGAAAAUGAUGAUCUUGGUGUCUAUGGAUUCUUUGGUUCAUUCUGAAUCUGUGGAUGUCAAUUUUGUCAAGACCACCUGGACCACCUGUCCGCCAUUUUGAAAUUUGACAUAAAUUGCGAUAUCUUUUGAUCUACUGGACAAAUCUGCACAAAAAUCGGUUGGCAUCAUCAACGCACUGUGCCGGAGGUACCCCGGAAGUUUGAAGACAGCGCCACCUAGUGUUCAAGAGAUAUAACGAUUCUUGCAAAACCCCUUAUAACUUUUGAAAUCGUUGAUCGAUUUUUGUAAUUUUUAUGUCAUUUCGUUCCUUGGGUUAUGCCGAAUCUCAUGAUGUCUCAUUUGUCAUUUUCCAACAUGGUGUCUGUCCGCCAUAUUGAAUGGAAUGAAAAACUGUUUUUUCGCUACUCCUCCCUGAAAUCUUGUUCAAUUUUGUUCAAAAUUUUAUCAGAUGAUAUUCAGACCAGGCCGGACAGAAAUGACUGAACAGAUUUUUGAUAUUCACUCCCGUUCCCGACAUGUACAUCUCAGAAGUUGACCGUGCCUGUGCUAGUUGAUUUGUGCUAGUUAGCUUAGCAUGCUAAUUAGCUGAAAUGCUAACACGUUUCUAUUCAUUCUAAUGGGUGUCUUGAUCUAUCUGGUUAACUUUCAGCAACGUUAGCAUUUUUUAGCCUAGCAUGCUAAUCUGGCUCAAAUGCUAAUUCGGGCUUUUGAGAGAUCAUUCUCACACCUUAACCUCGCUUCUGUGGCU